rnacentral:SRP_RNA from 2 species
GCCAGGCAUGGUGGUGCAUGCCUGUAAUCCCAGCUACUCAGGAGGCUGAGGCAGGAGAAUUGCUUGAACCUGGGAGGCAGAGGUUGCAGUGAGCCGAGAUCUUGCCACUGCACUCCAGCCUGGGUGACAGAGCGAGACUCCGUCUCAA